rnacentral:rRNA from 1 species
UGGUAGCGGGGAUAGCUAUUGGAAACGAUAGCUAAUACCGCAUAACAGUAGAUAUUGCAUGAUAUCUGCUUGAAAGGUGCAAAUGCAUCACUACCAGAUGGACCUGCGUUGUAUUAGCUAGUUGGUGAGGUAACGGCUCACCAAGGCGACGAUACAUAGCCGACCUGAGAGGGUGAUCGGCCACACUGGGACUGAGACACGGCCCAG